AUGCCCAUAUCAGAUUGAAUCGGUAGUUCCCUUAUGAUUUUCAAAGUUAAGCAACAUUGAGCCUGGUCAGUACCUAGAUGGGUGACCACUUGGGAACACCAGGUGA